rnacentral:lncRNA from 1 species
AGCAGCCUUUGGCAGUAUAAUUGAUGUUGUGUUCACAACUUAAAGUAAAAAGCAUUUGAUGGAAAACCGCUGUUGCAGAAUGACAUUGUAUUCUAGCGCUUUCUCCAAAAAUGAACAUCGUUAAAAAUAACUUUCAAAAGAAAGGAUUCAAACCCCAAAGAUAUAAACUUAUCUCAAAGUAGUUAAAUGAUAGCUAUCUGUACAUUUUAAACUACAUCUCAAAUUUGGAGAUGACAUAAUAAGAAAGCAAAGAAUUUUCAUGGUUGGACAAAUAUUACAUAUUUUGUUCUCUACAGAGAGGCUUUUUCAAGCCUUUAUCUCUUUGAGGCCCGAGUAACUGGUUGGAAGAUAGGCUCGCAUAUUUAUGUGAAAACUGUCAGGACUAGCUGACUCAGUUCAGCUUCCAUUUGGCCCCAAGUCAGGGGCUCUCUGACCAGAGUUGCUGCAUUGGUUCUUAAAAUGCAACAAAGGGUACAGCUGGGGGGCUUUUUAAACUGGUGAAUAUUCUCAGCAGUGCAAGUCAGUGUUAUUGAUGCUCCUCCCAAUACCGUGAUGAAGGGGGAGAUGGAAAGAGACAACAGGAUGGGAAAGAAAGAGAAGAGAAAGUGUCCCCUGCUAGUGACAGCACAUCAGGAGGACGUGUCAUGGCUCCAUCAGCUACAAUGCAACUCAGUAAGGAGGACAUGCCUCCACAUGUAUGAUGGUGGGCAUUCUCUCUUCUUAAUUGAUUGUGAUCCGUGCUCUCCCUUGCACAAUUUGAACAGUGCUGUCAAAAUUAAUCUAUUCAGUUCAUUAAAGUCUUCUAUCCUUAAUUUUUAUGUUGAGAUUUGACAGAAUGAUAACUAAUGGGAAUUAUUAAAAUGAGAAUGAUUUUCUUCUGCUUAUAUAAAAGUUACUAAUGACAUUCAGAGACGAUUUUUGAUUUGUUAAAGAAAAAAUCAAUUUAAAUUUAAUUUUAUGUGACUAGGAAAGAUCAGAAAUAUUUCAGUUGCAUUUUCCCUGAAUUAAUUGCUUAUGCAGAGAACUUGCAUUCUCGCCAUGACAAAGUAGUUUCUGCAUUUAUGUUUUGUCCCAAAUCCUAACAUCCAGAUUGAAAAAAUGUAUUUCUUAGCUGAUAUCUUCUGUGGCUUAUCCUCAAGAAAAUAGCUUUUUGUCAUGGGCAAUUUUGUAUAGUCUCUUUGGUAUGUCUAGAAAACAUAUCAUCUAAUCCUGUUAUUUAGUUGAAAAUCAACAAUGAGGACAAGACCAUUGUGAUACUAUCAGACAGUAACUUUCACAAAGCAUGAAUUAGAAGAUCUAUCAAAAUUUGCUUUUCAAGACAUAGGAGCUUUUAAUGUUUUGCAUUCACCCAGCAAAAUUCCUAUCUCAUGUACAACCACUCUUUUGAGUACCAUUUGAUAUUCCCAAAGUUUUGAGUAUGAACUGAAUCUUCCUAUGUGAAUGAAGUUGAAAAUCUCACAAUUGGUUGUGUGACUUAUAGUCAUAAACAUCAGGGAUGACGAAUAAAUGCAACUUUAUUUAUUUUUUAAUUCUGAAUUUGGAAUAGAAUCUUUCUGUUUUCUUAUUCUGCCAAAGAACAGAAUUUUUUUAGCCAGUUACUUUUAGGCUAUCUGUGUCCCUUGGAAAUUCCUUCUCAGUCUCUUGGGUAAAUAGUCAGGUCUAGGGUUUCUACCUCCUCUUUACUCUCCCUCUUCCCCCAGAGACGAGCCAUACCUGGGGGAUGAGAUUGAGAGGGUGAGUGUUUUUACUUCCAGUGUGCAAAGGCACUUGAACGUGUCACUCAGUUGAGUGCAUGUCUGUGUGUGUAUACUCAGGGAACAAAGUACCUGUGUAAUCUACCUGUGUAGUGUUAUUAGCACUACCACUUUGGAUUGGAUUGGAAAGGAUGAUUUUAUGAUAUGUUAUAUUUUGGAAUAUAAAUUUUAAGUCUAAUUUAAAGAUUCUAGUGUAUGUAAAGUGGUUAAGGAGAUUUCAAUUUCCUCAUCAUUAAGAAGUUCUAGGUUCAUAAUGAAAGGAAAAAACUGCUGAGGAAGGUUGAAUGGCCCUAUUAAUGUUAAGAUAAAAUGAUUUGAAUAAUCAGACUAUAUAUACAUGUAUAUAUAAAUACGAGUGCACAUAUUAACAAAUAAAUGGACAUUUACAUGAUAAUAUACAUAUAACAUGCAUAUGAUGGAUUCACAUAUUAUAUGCAUAUGUGUGUAAAUUUACAGAUUAAUAUACACGCUGUAUUUUGAUUAUUUGAACUUAGAGCAUUUUUAUUCUUUUUUUUUUUCAUUUUAUUCUUAUUACUUUUAUUUUUUACUUUUUAUGUUUUGAACUCAGAGUGUUUUCAUUUGUAACUCUAUAUAUGUUUGAAAUGACAUACAAUUAUAAUGUGCAUAGAUAUCACACACUCACACAAAGCGUUAAUGCUAUCCAUCCCAACAUUUUUCCCAUUAUUCAAGAUAACUUAGGUAAAUAUGUUCUUGGAAUACCAUUAGUAUAGAAGAAAACUUUGGUGAGCCUCCUGUGAAUAAUCUUUUCACUUCCCCAUCGCCGUGCUGUGAAAUCCAUAAAUGAAGUGUUAGAGUAUUCCCACUUCUCAUUCACACUUGCACAACUGCACCCACUCACCCCAGAAGCGUUCCUGAUGGGAGCUGUGGCUCACGUGCCGAUGCCUCCCCGGUGAGUCCACUGUCCCCUUCUAAGGACCCACAGCCCGGCUCAAAUGCUGAGUGUCUCUCGUGCUUUUCUCUGUCUUGUGUGUGUGCCAGUGGACACAGAGAGAUAAAAGAGAAGAGACUCUGAAUAACACAACCACAAUGCCACUGUAUAGCCAAUCAGCUACUGUGGAAAAUCCCCUGAUGAGCUGUAGCCUCAUCUUCUACACUAAGCUUGGAAUGCCCAGUGUCAAGAGGUGACACAUUCUUGUUCCCACACCCCUACACCUUAGGCUUUGAGGUUUCCUCACCUGAUUUUACGCAAGAAGGAAGGGAAGCUCUCAAAGCUAUCCUGUCUUAAAGGGGACUUUUAAAGAGCAAAAUCAUAGAGAAAGCUUGGGCUGCACUGCCUUGAGGUGACAGGGAAUUCCGCCUUGCUGUCUGUUGGAAUCUAAACCCUUCUGAAAGAACAUAAUCUUUUCUAAAUUGUCAAGUUUGCCUUCCUGACAUGAAAAUAAAAACCAUGAGUACUCUAUGUAAAGGGACUUUUUUAUUUCCUGACCAUCAGACUCUAAGAGUUUAUUUGUUAUUGCUGAAAGAGUGGAUUUUAGAGUUUAGUGGUAUACUGAAUCCCUCUCACCUCAGUUAGUUUCUUUAGAGCAAUUGCAGGGCUCUGGAACAAAUACUCGGUAUGUCUUAAGGAGGCUGGGUCCCUUUACUCCAGGGAAAAGUGAGCUAAGUCUGGAUAAAGGAUGUCCCUAUCCUGUUGUUGCUUGUGUCUUGAAGGAGUCUGUCUGAAUGUGGUGGCCACUUAUCAGUUCUCGUGUCUGGCUCCAUCACCAGGUGCACUGCUCCCAAGAGUCUGACAAGGGAUCUAGAAAUGAAUGUGGCAUGUUAAAUCUUAUGUUCCUUUUUCUUUUAUCUAUCCAUGAGAAUGUUUGUUCAUCGUCAUGUGCUAUCAACUAACAACAAGCAAGCAUGAACAGGUACAAGUAUCUUAGGGAUUAGAUGCAAAAUGGUAUUUCUAGGCAGAUUGGAACAGUGCAUUGCCAUGCAGGAGGCUCAGAUUUUCUUCAUUGCUCCUCAAAUCACUUUUCCUUCUUACCUGGAAAAAAAGAGAAUGAGAGAGAAAGAGAGAGGGAGAGAGAGAGACUUAUAUUCCCUAUUUCAACUAUAAUUACUAAAAUAAAUGACUUCUGAAUGAAUUUGUGGGAAUAAAUGAGACAUUUUAAGCAAGAAAUAGUGAAUUCCAACAGAAUUUCUCUCCAGAAAAGUCAGUGAAUAUAAUUAAAAAUGUGAGCAGUCAUCCUCUAUAAAUAUUUUGGAUAUAUGUAUAUAUGUUUAUGAAAUAUAUUUAUGGAAACAAUGUCACUUUUUCUAAAGACAUUUCUAAAUUUUUCCUGAAAGCUUGUCUAAAUAAAUAAUAUAUUUAUGCAUGGCAUCCAUAAAAAAAGGAAUUCUUGUUAUUACUUGGAUCUAGGGAAAACCUAAACACAUUUAUGACUUUAGAUCCAUUUAAAUAUGUAUUUUCAUUGUCAAUCAUUUGUUUGUUUAAUGCAAAAAUAUUCUGCCUUUAUUAAAAUUUUGAGCACCCAUAGGAAUUUAAUAGCAGUGACAAGUUCAGUUAAUAAUCUCAAAUAUUUAUACCUGUAAUAAAGGCCAGUGGUUUUGCCUAACCUGAAAAUUGUUUGCCCUUUUAAUCACAGAAAUACAUACUGAACACUGAUUUAUGAAUUUUCUAACUACUUUUCCUUGAUAUGGUCAUUGACCACUGUUUUGUCUUAGGCUGCAACACAUAUUUAAGAAACAUUUGCUAAUGACUUUAUUAGAGAACAGAGGGACAAACAUUGACUAAGCCUGUUGAAAUAUGAGCUACUUGAAAGGCAAAUAAAUGAUUUUUUC